GUCUUCCUCUGCUCCAACCACGUCCCCGCCACCAGAACGCCCGGGUCCUCCUUCUUGUGUACGUUCUCCGCUGCACCCGGGCCUCCCCUGACUCGGCAGGUCAUCCUCGAUUUUCUCCGUCAAGCACGCCGCCACGUUCCUGGACGCAGUGCGUCCAGUCGACGUCUGCGACUCUGCAUCCAAGCUCGCCUCCGGCCGCCGCCUUGGCCAUGCUCGGCAAGCUGACCGGCGCCUCUUCAACUACCACUGUUGCUCGCGUCUUCCGUCCUCCGUCCUCCGUCACCAGCGACCUCGUCUGCAAGUCCGUCCACGUCCGCAGCGCCACAGGUCGCGACUUCUAAACAUCCAUGCGGAGGCUACGGCUCCCUGCAUCGCUGUUCGUCUUCCCCGACGCCUCCGGGUUCUUCUCAAGGUCCGUCUCGCCAGCGCACUCAAGCGCGUCCGCGGCACCGCGCUGCUCACGUCUUGGUCGCUACUUCUGCGUCUUCCUCGUCGGACACGUCCGUCACGGCGUCACCGGCGUUGUGCAUGCCAAUCUCUGGCUUCGUAUGGUUUAAAACAACGCGUGAUGUAUCCUGGGAAGGUCGAUGCUAGCUCAGCUCCAGCUGUUGGGUUCUGCCCGUCAGUGUCUUGGGUUAUCUCUUCACCAGUGAGAAAAGGAUCAGCAUUCAGCGCCAAUCAGCUUCUUACCUGGCCCAUGGGUCAGCCUCUCAGCCUCGUAUCUUCCUGGCAUUUGCUUCUUCCCGGAUAGGAUCACGAAGUGGUGUGGUG